UGAUAGCGAUGAAGUCUGAGGUUGCGCCAAUGGCGGUAAUUCGGCGGAGCGAAUGUCAAGUUAGAAAACUGGCGACAA
rnacentral:ncRNA from 1 species